ensembl:lncRNA
AUGUGUAGUUCUGAAUUGGAGAAAUAUAUUCUACAUAUAUUUCUACAGUGCAAAGAAUGCGCUGAAUCCAAGGAAGAACAGAAAAAGUUAACUGAGUUAUCCAGGGGCAUCUUCCAUCAGAAAAUACCAGAUACAAGUCUCUGGAGGCAAGAUUCUGACAACUUUUAUUCCAUGGAACUGUAAAGGAUCUUGUACCUGCAUAGAUGGCAUAAAAACAGAAUUUCCUCCUCUGUAUAAAAUAAACCCAAAUCUAUUUCCUAGGAAAAAAUUAUU